GACGAACGCUGGCGGCGUGCCUAACACAUGCAAGUCGAACGGAGAUAUCCUUCGGGGUAUCUUAGUGGCGAACGGGUGAGUAACGCGUGGGUAACCUGCCCUUUUAUCGGGGAUAACUUGCCGAAAGGUGAGCUAAUACCGGAUGUCCUAUUUUGAUCACCUGAUUAAGAUAGCAAAGGUGGCCUCUUUAAAUGCUACCGUAAAAGGAGGGACCCGCGUCUGAUUAGCUAGUUGGUGAGGUAACGGCUCACCAAGGCGACGAUCAGUAGCCGGCCUGAGAGGGUGAACGGCCACACUGGGACUGGGACACGGCCCAGACUCCUACGGGGGGCAGCAGUGGGGAAUCUUCCGCAAUGGACGAAAGUCUGACGGAGCAACGCCGCGUGAGUGAUGAAGGUCUUCGGAUUGUAAAACUCUGUUUUUUGGGACGAACGGCUCAUAUGUGAACAAUGUAUGAGAUUGACGGUACCAAAGGAGGAAGCCCCGGCUAACUACGUGCCAGCCGCCGCAGUAA
rnacentral:rRNA from 1 species